CCGAGUUUACAACUCCCAAACCCAAUGUGAACGUUACCAACUGUUGCCUCGGCGGGGUCACGCCCCGGGUGCGUAAAAGCCCCGGAACCAGGCGCCCGCCGGAGGAAACCAACCAAACUCUUUCUGUAGUCCCCUCGCGGACGUAUUUCUUACAGCUCUGAGCAAAAAUUCAAAUGAAUC
rnacentral:misc_RNA from 1 species